rnacentral:pre_miRNA from 1 species
UGGGGGAGGCCGGAUCCUGGGCUGUGUCCCGGCGCCCAGUGCUCCGGGGCCUGGGCUGUGGAUUCGCGCUCUCGCCUCGCAGCCCCCU